UAACACGUAGGGCGCGAGCGUUGUCCGGAAUUAUUGGGCGUAAAGAGCUCGUAGGCGGCCUGUUGCGUCCGCUGUGAAAGCCCGGGGCUUAACCCCGGGUCUGCAGUGGAUACGGGCAGGCUAGAGGUAGGCAGGGGAGAAUGGAAUUCCCGGUGUAGCGGUGAAAUGCGCAGAUAUCGGGAGGAACACCGGUGGCGAAGGCGGUUCUCUGGGCCUUACCUGACGCUGAGGAGCGAAAGCGUGGGGAGCGAACAGG
rnacentral:rRNA from 1 species